rnacentral:rRNA from 1 species
UCGAGGAUCAUUCGCAAUGGGCGCAAGCCUGACGGUGCGACGCUGCGUGGAGGAUGAAGGCCUUCGGGUUGUAAACUCCUGUCGUGUGGGAACAAUAGUCUGGCCACUAACACCGGCUGGAAAUGAUAGUACCGCAAAAGGAAGCCACGGCUAACUCUGUGCCAGCAGCCGCGGUAAUACAGAGGUGGCGAGCGGGGGUCGGAUUUACUGGGCGUAAAGGGUGCGUAGGUGGCUUUGUAUGUCGGGCGUGAAAUCCCACUGCUCAACGGUGGAACGCCGCCCGAAACUGCAGGGCGAGAGUGCAGGAGAGGAGAGCGGAAUUCUUGGUGUAGCGGUGGAAUGCGUUGAUAUCAAGAAGAACACCAGUGGCGUAGGCGGCUCUCUGGAAUGUAACUGACACUGAGGCACGAAAGCGUGGGGAGCAAACA